rnacentral:misc_RNA from 1 species
AAAAAAAAAAAAAAAGAACAGUUUAGUUAUUUUGGAGUUCUUAUCACUAAAACACAUUAAAUUUAGCUUUAAAUCAAUUUUUAAUGUCCUUUAGCUAAUAUAUUUAACGUGUUUUUCUCAACAUUAGCUCCAUCCAACAGUAAUACCACCCUUAGCAUCCAAAUAUCGAAGAGAGUUAUCACUAGUUAGUCCACCACAUGUUCUGCAAUUUUUACUCAACAAAGAACACAGUGCCUCAACAACUUGCUUUCAUUGUUGAAUAAAAAGGGGCACACAAAUGGUACACUAGAAGCAUGGAACACUUUCUAAAACAAAAGCAGCAGUAGAAAAAGCAACAGACCCUACAAAGACAUUUAUCACACCUAGAUACCUCCUCAAUGAACCCUUAUAAAAAUCCUCUUCCACUCCUAGGGACCUACUCCAUGCAGAGUCUCACAUCUUUUUUUCUUCACACAUGUACCUAAAAGGUUAUGAACUUAAGCUUAGAAAUUAGAACAAACAUAAAGCUAGUAAUAUGACAGCACCAAAGAGUUGGGAUCAACCUUAUCUUUCACGGAGAACUCUAAAAUGAUGAUGAUGAUCUGGUAUAAGAUCACAGAGAUUCUAGAGUAGUGCAGAGAAUUCUAGAAGCAACUCCAGUGAAGAGAGUUCUCUUCUCUUGUUAAAGGUUGUGCUGAUCUUCACGUUAUACAUGUACUUCAAUGAUCAGCAAUAUAAAGAAAGCUUAUGAUUUCAAAUCUCCCUAUGGACAUGUUUUCAAAGCAUUCACACUCAGAACAUCCACAAGCAAACAAAAUCAUCAAAUCCCUGGCAUCCAUUUCUUGCCAUCUACUGUAUUAUAGUGUCAAACUUUCCUGAUCAACAGGGAAAUCCACUUAAAUAAAGGUAUGACAGGGAUCCUUUUUCCCCCAAAAUGUACUCACUAUUUUAGGAUUCAACAUCAACCCAUUCAUAUUGUAACAUAUCUCCCAAUUCUAACAAACUAAUAAACAGCAUGAUGAAGAAUGGGCUUCUAAUGAGGGGGGAAAAGUAAUGCAAAUAGUCAAACACAUUUACAAGUCUACAAAAAAAUCCACAAAAAAAGGGUAAAAUAGAGUGUGUGACAUGAAAUGGCAAUGUUAGAAGAUUAAUAUUCCAACAAGCCAAUGAUCUCAGAGAUAUCUUACAGGGUGUG